rnacentral:rRNA from 1 species
GACGAACGCUGGCGGCGUGCUUAACACAUGCAAGUCGAACGGAAAGGCCCUGCUUUUGUGGGGGUGCUCGAGUGGCGAACGGGUGAGUAACACGUUAGUAACCUGCCCUUGACUUUGGGAUAACUUCAGGAAACUGGGGCUAAUACCGGAUAGGAGCUCCUUCUGCAUGGUGGGGGUUGGAAAUUGUCGGCGGUUGGGGAUGGACUCGCGGGUUAUCAUCUUGUUGGUGGGGUAGUGGCUUACCAAGGCGUCGACGGGUAGCCGGCCUGAGAGGGUGAACGGCCACCUUGGGACUGCGAUACGGCCCAGACUCCUACGGGAGGCAGCAGUGGGGAAUAUUGCACAAUGGGAGGAAGCCUGAUGCAGAAACGCCGCGUGCGGGAUGACGGCCUGCGGGUUGUAAACAGCUUUCGCCUGUGACGACGCGUGAGUGACGGUAAUGGGUAAAGAAGCACCGGCUAACUACGUG